rnacentral:rRNA from 1 species
UACGUAGGGGGCAAGCGUUGUCCGGAUUUAUUGGGCGUAAAGAGCGUGUAGGCGGCUUUACAGGUCCGUUGUGAAAACUCGAGGCUCAACCUCGAGACGCCGGUGGAAACCGUAAGGCUAGAGUCCGGAAGAGGAGAGUGGAAUUCCUGGUGUAGCGGUGAAAUGCGCAGAUAUCAGGAGGAACACCCGUGGCGAAAGGCGGCUCC